UACGUAUGGUGCAAGCGUUAUCCGGAUUUACUGGGUGUAAAGGGAGCGCAGGCGGUGCGGCAAGUCUGAUGUGAAAGCCCGGGGCUCAACCCCGGUACUGCAUUGGAAACUGUCGUACUAGAGUGUUGGAGGGGUAAGUGGAAUUCCUAGUGUAGCGGUGAAAUGCGUAGAUAUUAGGAGGAACACCAGUGGCGAAGGCGGCUUACUGGACGAUAACUGACGCUGAGGCUCGAAAGCGUGGGGAGCAAACAGG
rnacentral:rRNA from 1 species